AGCAAGUUGGAAGAGAUAUAUGUGAAGUGAUGAACAAUGCCAAAAACGCGUUAUUGUCCAGUCGAACCGAAUCCCUUAUCACCGCGCGGCUCGCGGGAUAAGAACUCACUUCUUUGAACGCCGUGUUCUUCGUCUUUCUUAGUUCCUUCAACGUAUCGCACUGGUCCGUGGUACAUUGGGAUUACUGCAAGCUGCCCGAGGCGUGACGCCGCUUUUAAUGUAAUAAUGAGCAACAAACCUGCUGUGGAUAUCAUUGUUGCUGCGGCCAAUCCUGACCUCCCCUUAAUCAAACCAAAGUGGUUGAGGGGCAGUAUAACUUGGAUCCCCGUCUCCACCACACCAACACCGCCACCACUGAUUUCGCCAGAGUUUUGAGAAAAUAGGUCAUAUGCUGCUGAUCCAGGCGUAGCCUUCCUCGGAAACAUUGCCCGUCUAUGUCGACGAACAAAGAUAAGUCCGUCAACUGUGUGAGAAAUUAAUAGACAACAAUUUUAGUUAAUUAAUGAAGUAUUGGAAUUUAUUUAUUUUCAGAAUUGAUCCGGUGCUAAUUUGAAGGUAAGUAUUGAGAGGAUUUAUGGAGCAAUAACUAAUAAUCUAGUAUUUGUAACCAAAAUUUGAAUUUUAAAACUUUUAGUGAGCUUAACAUCAAAUAAAGCUCUAAGCGUCCGGUUUUGCCGGGAGCAUGCUACCAACGUCGUUGCGCAUUUCUUCUAACGCUUUUACUAAUGACCAAUAGUGGUCGACCAGAAUAUUUGCGCCCACAUUUUGAUUUUUGCGUAAAGAUAAAUAUGUUUUUGAGUUGUUAUGCCAUGUUUGGAGUCGGAGGUAGUAUUCGCCUCCUAAAAACCCCUCCCACCAAAUUGAAUUUUGCGAAUCUUUCUUCUCUUCGUAGGACGAGAAGUUUUUCUUAAUUGUACCUGGCUGUUCACCUGCUCCUCCGCCGCUGACGUGAGGCUGGGGAUCCUUCUUGGAUGUCUUGACUUGGUCCUUCACGAUCCUCUUCGCAGGCUUCUUAUCGUCGUCGCCUGAAAUUCCAGAUCCCGAUCCCUGCCUAGGUCCUUCGUUAGACUUUUUCAUGGGCUUCUUUUCCGCAUCCUUAACUUCUUCUCGUCUACCUGUAAAUAAGAGCGUAAGCGUAAUGUAAAUUUACAAAUUAAAAAAUAAAAUAAAUGAGUAAAAUAAAACGAUAAAUCUUACGGUCGCUAUCCUUAUGUUUCUUCUCGGCUUCCUUUCUGCCCUUGUGGGUCGUCUUGUUCUUGGCGUCUCUUCUCGGGGAUCGGUCCGAUUCCGAGUCGUCCGACCAAAUUGCUUUCUUGCUCCUAGGCCUUUUACCCUCAUCG